rnacentral:rRNA from 1 species
UACGGAGGAUCCAAGCGUUAUCCGGAAUCAUUGGGCUUAAAGGGUGCGUAGGCGGUUUUGUAAGUCAGUGGUGAAAGCCCAUCGCUCAACGGUGGAACGGCCAUUGAUACUGCAAGUCUUGAAUUAUUAGGAAGUAACUAGAAUAUGUAGUGUAGCGGUGAAAUGCUUAGAUAUUACAUGGAAUGCCAAUUGCGAAGGCAGGUUGCUACUAAUGGAUUGACGCUGAUGGACGAAAGCGUGGGGAGCGAACAGG